GCCCUCUCAAUCUAUUAUUUUUGUGAGGUAUAUGGGGCGCAAAAGUGAGGUGUGGGUGGCAUCAAAAAAUAAGAGUCCAAAAGGAGUUUGGACUCUCACCUAAACUCCUAUUUAAACUCUAUCUCUUCCCUAUUUAAACCAAGCACCAUGUGGGGUGUUAGAUGAAUGAGAUAUGAUCAGGUUUUAAUGCCCAAAAGGAGAGGUUUGCAUGGAAAAAAAAUCAAGGGGAGAAG
rnacentral:lncRNA from 1 species